UACGGAGGGUGCAAGCGUUAAUCGGAAUUACUGGGCGUAAAGCGCACGCAGGCGGUCUGUUAAGUCAGAUGUGAAAUCCCCGGGCUUAACCUGGGAACUGCAUUUGAAACUGGCAGGCUUGAGUCUUGUAGAGGGGGGUAGAAUUCCAGGUGUAGCGGUGAAAUGCGUAGAGAUCUGGAGGAAUACCGGUGGCGAAGGCGGCCCCCUGGACAAAGACUGACGCUCAGGUGCGAAAGCGUGGGGAGCAAACAGGG
rnacentral:rRNA from 1 species